GCUGUAGCCCAGUAGGAGAGCAUCUAGCUUGGAAUGCAGACGGUCCCAGGUUCAAUCUCUGGCAUCUCCA
rnacentral:tRNA from 1 species